UGCAAAGGAUUCAGAAAAUGAGCAGAGCAGACCCUGAGGGCUUAGCUGGAGACAAGGCCACCAAAUAAUUUAGAAUUAUAGCAUAAUUGCACUUUGAAAAAUCAGAAAAAUCUCAGUAUAGUCUUAAGAAUGUAAUUGACUGUUCAUAAUUUGUAACAUUGGAGAGAUUUCUUCAGGUAAGAUACUUCUUUUUUUUUUGCAAGACACGUUCUCCAUCUUGUGUUUUGUUUUAAAUAAAGCUUUUCUUUGCUAAUUGUCCUUUUCUUUUUCUUCUCACCAAGUAAUUAAAUAGUAGUUGAGCCUAGUUAUUUCCCUGCUCUGAAAAUAUUUUAUUGGAUUGCAUGAGAUGUCCAAAAGGGGAUAAUUGGAGGGCUUGUAGAUACUGAUAUAAGAAGAUAUUUCUAUGGAAACCAGACCUUGCAUUAUGGAAGAGAGAUACCACAACACACAUCGCUAUCACAAUGACAGCUGUAACCUUCCUUUCAAAGUGAACAUUUGAUCCUGAAUUGCUUUCAUUUGAUCUUUUCUAGCAGAAAAAUCUGCUGUGUAAACCCUGUGGUGGACAGGAUGGCAUACAAACUCCAUUAACGCAGAAAAAGUUUGGUGCAGAAAAAACAGUGAGCGAGCUACAGGAUUUAAACUGCCUUUAAAUUCAGGCUCUGUGAUCAUGCUAUGUGAGGACUUCUUAAAUCCAGACGAGUCAUAUAGUCCUCGGAGCCUGCCCGGAACACAGCCAUGCUGCCAUGCGUGGGAAGACGAGAUGGUGCGCUUCCACACCACACCGAAAGGUGAAUGCAGUGAAACCUUGCAGUGCCUUGUGUGCAGCAGGACAAGACACAGAGCCAGUCAGCACCCCUGUGAGGCUGCUCAGUUGCAUAGUGGCAUCCAGCCAGUAACCUCUCAUGAGGAAGAAUCAAUUUGCAAGGUACUGAAUAAACCCUUGGGCUCUGCUGUGGAGAGGUGACCACCCAUGAAAACAACUGACAUGAAAAAACCACAAGAAUCACGCAUGCCCCUCCAGUCUGAAUAUGGAACAGCACUAAUUAGGACUUGGACAAUAAAAGCCUUGGCCAAAGACCACAAGGACUUCACAUACCUGCAGAAAUGGGGAGAGCUGGGGAAGAUUACUAGGCUGUGUAACAGUCUAAAGAAGGUACCUAUUUCCUUGGCCACCCCUAUCUUGUUUUGCUCUCAGGCAGCUGCUUUGGAGCUGU
ensembl:lncRNA